AUGCCUAGGUGCACCUCGUCGGUCAACUACCAAACGGAGACAGCGACCAUGUCGGAGCUCAUCUGCAACGGCUGCUUCAGCCUGGUGCUCUACAACCGCACCGCAGCCAACGUACGCUGCUCCCGGUGCAACAUGCUCAACUCCACAAGAUCAGCGAGCCAGUACGCCCACCUGAAGUGCGGUGGCUGCCGGACGACGCUCAUGUACCCGCCGGGGGCCUCCACCGUGGGGUGCGCCACGUGCCACCACGUCAACCCCGUCAGAGCCCAGGGCUCCUCGGCUCCUCCGGAUGCCCAUGCGCGGCCUCAGACAGUUCUCGUGGAGAAUCCCAGGACAAUGAACGACAAGGGCAAACUGGUCAGCAAUGUGGCGGUCGGUGUCACUUCAUGGAAAAGAUGA
rnacentral:rRNA from 1 species